AGAACGUGUUUUUAGCUUUCUGGCCUUCACUUGAUUUCUCAAUUCAUUGUUGAAUAACUACAGACACUAGUCUGUCUGGGUUUGUGCUGAUUCUCCGGACAGUGACCAAACCAUGUGUGAAGAAGAGGUUCAAGCCCAGAAGCCUGGAGGAUCCUCCAUCUGCCCACAGGUUUUCCCCAGGGAUGAAGCAGCCCUGCCCGGCAGCACUCAGCCCCACACCUCCGUAUGUCAACACACCUUGGCAGGAUGCGAGCAGGAAUGGUGAUAGUGCACUUGGACAAACAGCAGGAACCAGUCAGUUACAUGCAGCCUGCGGUCCUGUGGCACCACCUCAGCAUAAGCAUCUCAUGCCCAGAUGGGCAAGCAGCUCCUCCUGUUCGAGCUGCAGCUGGACACCUGAAAAACACAGCACGGGACACCAACCAGUAGAGACAAUUACAUGGAUCUGUCUGGAAAUGUCAUUGAUUUCUGUCUGGUAAGUAAGUUCCUAACCCUAAACUAAGUAAUAAGGUUGCCAUAAAGCAUUUGAAUCCCAUUAUUUCUUUAUUUCCCCUCCCAAGCAGCGUAUAAUAGACACUGGUUCUUUUUCUUCAUGCCUCACAGUGGAAAUAAAUUCCUUCAAGGAAAUAGUUUUCAGUGUGCUUAUCAGCCUUAAAAGAAAUUGAAUGGCUAUACUUCUUAGCGCUUACUCUCAUUUGUUGUUCCUUCUCAGCAUUACCAUGAAAGUUAUCUCCUUCUUAAAUUGCUUUUACUUUUCAAGUCAGGCUUACAAGAAACCAACCCGUUUCAUUUGAAAUCUGUCAUUUGUAUAAAUAAUUUGUACAAAGAGCAAAAUGAUGUUAAACAUCCUUAUUUUUCAGGACUGUCUCACUUCUUGCAAUGGAUACUGAACAAAAAGCAGUUGACGAAAAAUGGUAGGGCUUUCACUAGGGACGAUUAUUAAGGGAAGCAUAGAUUCAAAGUUCCAUUAAGGAGCUUUUUGGCCCUGUUGUGAAAAAAUGCUCUUGAAUGCUGGUGAUCAUCACUCACUUUGCCUUAGUGUCAGGUGGAGGGAAGACGGCAGAAGUCAGGUGGGUUAUCAGUGGCAGGAAUUAUUCUUGGGCUAUUCCUUGCAGCCCAAUCAUGCUGCAAGAAUCUGAGGCUGUCUCAGCAGCAGGGGUUCUGUUGACAUCUUGUUCUCACAUUGAAAAACUGCAGAACUUUCACAGGGAAAACUGAUAGUUGCCAGUAGGUUUUAAUCUCAAUACCCUCUGUGGAUUUUUUUUCCCAUUUUCUUUUUUUAUGUGCAUUGGAAUUACAGCAAUGUAUUUAAUGUUUGGCAAGAAUAUUUACAAAUAGACACUUCCUAUACAUGCAACAAAAAUUUAACUUUUAGCAAAAUCCAUCUUCUCAGAGGAAAUGACAUGUCUCCUAGACAGUAGAUGCUGGCUAAACUAAGAGGACUUGGUGUAAGUAAGAGGACUUAUGGUAAGUGCAACAGCCUCUGUGACUUUUUCUGAAAAACUGGAGGAUGAGGGAAGCCAGCAGAUCAUUAAACAGGAGAUGUGGCUGCAUUUGUGUAAGCAGCUCCCUGGUUUGCUGGGCACAGUACUUUUCACAUUCUUCACUGGUACUAAAGGCAAGUGCCUUACACGUGGGAAA